GCUCAAUGUGCAUAUAGGGAUUCGAGGGGCUCUUGAUGGCACAUGUGAAACAUGACCUUGAAAUAUCAUACAUACUACUAAUACUGUGCGAGAACCAACUAAUGCUAGAACCCAGCGAUUGUGUCAAAAAGAAAGACAGAAAAAACAUGAUAUGAAUCGCUCCCGACCCUUACAGGCAGUUUAAUAUGGAUAAAUUGCAGGGACACAAACAACUUGAGUGUCUUUGCGGUCACACGCUCCGCCUCUCGGUCAAUCCAGACAAAUUCUAAGAGUUGUGCCGAAGCUUUUAAGCUGUAAUUGAGGACAGGAUGCCCAGGAAAACCAAAGCCAGCACUGCACAGACCUGGGUUUUUAUAGCUGCUAUAGUAUUCUUGUGCGCCUUUCCCCUCAAGCCAGACAGACACCACAAAACCGGUCAAGCGUGAUAGGAAGUCGCCACCUACACUGACUCAAAGUCAGCAGCUGGGGAAUUUCAGCAACAUAGAAACAUGUGUACACAGCUAAGGUGACAGAAACGAGGGCGAUGACAGAGGGGCCUGGCGGACCACACAAGGGCUACAGAGCGAAACUGACCAACUCCACGGUCAACGGGAGCGCCUCCGGCUAGUCAGGGGAGAAUCACAAGGCUGGAUUAGCCUGCAGAGGGUGUCCUGAGAAACAAGGCGCCAGGAGGAGCGGGACUAGACAAAAGGACAUAAAGUGGACUGUAGUGGGGGGAAUAAACGAACAUUUACAAAGGGGAUCAUUUGAAAGAAUAACAAGGAAUACGAGAAAGAACCAAGACGCGAGUAAAGGGAAAUUAAAGGAUUUCAUCUUCAUUAAAAAAAAAAAAAAAACACCACACAAAGUACAAAAUAGAAUACUGAAAUAGAAAAUUCAAUAUUCCUUACAUUAAAAGCAUUCGGCAACUAAACCCAGAUCUGAAAUUGUGACUAUUCUUAGAAGAUCUUAGUUAUUUUAUUUCUUAUAGGUAACCAGUUCUCCAGAUCUGUGGUUGAGUUCCAGCGUUUAGUUGCGAUUUCCCACAACAUGAAAAAAACGGACUCGUCUUCCAUCUAAAGGAUCGUUUUGAAAGGACAUUUGAUAAAAUUAAAAUUUGAUAAAAUUUGAUAAAAAGUUCAAUUUUACUUAAACGAGGAGAGAGAAAAAUAUAUUUGGGGUCUAAAAACAGGCGCAGUGUGCGUCAAAUAACGCAAAUCCCGACCUGCGUUUCUUUCUUGCUUGCUUGCUUGCUUUCUUUCUAAAAAAAAAAAGUCGCCUUUUUACACCACAUUAACCUUCAGUAUUUUCCUCUUCUGUUGUAUAUUUUUUCAGCUUGCUCGGCCCUGAAAUGAUCUUCUCAAGAAGUUAACAUCUUGCGGACGCCACGCCGAG
ensembl:lncRNA